AAUACGAGCGGCAGACGGGUGAGUAACGCGUGGGAAUCUACCCAUCUCUACGGAACAACUCCGGGAAACUGGAGCUAAUACCGUAUACGUCCUUUUGGAGAAAGAUUUAUCGGAGAUGGAUGAGCCCGCGUUGGAUUAGCUAGUUGGUGGGGUAAUGGCCUACCAAGGCGACGAUCCAUAGCUGGUCUGAGAGGAUGAUCAGCCACACUGGGACUGAGACACGGCCCAGACUCCUACGGGAGGCAGCAGCU
rnacentral:rRNA from 1 species